GGAAGGGUGGCUGAGCGGUUGAAAGCGCGACUCUCGAAAAGUCGUAAGGGGGCAACUCCUUCGAGGGUUCGAAUCCCUCCCCUUCCG
rnacentral:tRNA from 1 species